CAAAAACAUAGCUAAAUGCAAUUUAUGUUUAGUUUCCCCUGCUCAAUGGUUAACUAAAUAGCCGCAGUACCCUGACUGUGCAAAGGUAGCAUAAUCAUUUGGCUUAUAAUUGAAGUCUGGCAUGAAAGGGUCAAUGGGUAAUUACUGUCUUUUAGAGUACUUAAGAAAUUACUAAGUAGGUGAAAAUUCCUACUGAUAAAAAAUAGACGAGAAGACCCUAGAAAUUUUAUUUAAGGUAAUUAGUUGUUAUUAACAUUUUGUUGGGGCGACAAAAUAACAUUUAACUUAUUUUAUUUAAUUUGAACUAUGUGCUGAGGUAAAUUAAAUUACUCUAGGGAUAACAGCAUAAUUUAUUAGAGUUUGUGACCUCGAUGUUGGACUAGGGUAUAUAGUGUUUAGAAGAUAUUAUAGUUAGCUCUGUUCGAGCCCAGUUCCCUACGUGAUCU
rnacentral:rRNA from 1 species